CUUCCUAUAUGCUUGUUGAAAUCAUUAAACUUUAAAGUGACCUCAGUUUGACGUGUAUUAUUAUUCUUGUUUAGGAUUUAAGGUUACAACGAUUUGUGCUGUUUAAAAUAGGCCUGCAAGUUAGCGGGUUCUUAUUAACUUUCAAGAAAAUAUAAUACACAGCAGUUAACAACUCCCAGACGAAGCUAGAGAGCUCGAGAAAGAACUCAGGCAGAUAACAAAAGCAAAGAACGAAGCUGUUUGUGGCCAAGAUUUCGAAAGGUACUGUGCUUGUUCUUGUGAAUUUUAUAGAUGUGACAACUUGACCCAUUUACUUUUGAAUGGGUUGAUUUAGGGUUAUGUUUUAUGAGUUAAGUUCCCGUAAAAAUAAAAUAAACGUACGAAACGUACGAAUUGAAAGAAAAGUAAAAAAAGUGACGUACGAAUUGAAAGAAAAGUCAAAAAAGUGGCGGUGUCAUUUUGGUAAUUUUGGUAAUUAGCAACUUCAAAUUAGAAGGUUAUUUCGGGUCUUUCACCAUAUUUCGGGUACAUGUGUUUCACCAUAUUCCUGAUGUGUUUCGGGUACACGUGUUUUGAACAUAUUCCUGAUGUAUUUCGGGUACAUGUGUUUCACCAUAUUUCGGGUUCCUGAUGUAGAGGUUUUACCCAUAUGACCCAUUUCUUUUAAGCUACUUAUGACCCGUUAGAGAUAAAACAUAACCCAGGUGGACCUACUUAUAAGAGUCAAAACUGUCUGAUGUGAAGUUUCUGUUCUUUGUUGUGGGGCGUAGGGGCAACCAUCCGAUAUCAACCAAUAUUAUACCAUCUUCACAUGGUGGAAACGAAUAUGGAAGGAUUGCAUGAUGGUUACAGUUUGAAAUUUUAUAUAGAAAAUAUGGACUCUAAGGAAGGAAUGUUGUGAUGAUAACUGGUAGUUGAAGUAUGACUUAUGGAUGUGCAUUCAUAGUGAUUUUUUUUAUUUAAGACUUAUGAAACUGGUCUACAACCGGCGGUUUGGUUCGGUUCUAAAACCGGUUAUAAAAAACUGAUUUUGGUUUUUUUCUCGGUUUCAAUUCUAAAACCAGUUUUUUGGUACACCUCUAGGAGGAAUGACCGAACAAAACAUUUUGAAAGUAAUCUAGCAGUAGUACUUCCCUGAACACAAGAAAGCUUGAUGAAGAGACUGAAUCUCUCCCGUUAGUUUUCGCAUGUCAUUUCGUCCUUUAAAGUUUUGUUGUUUUUAUGUUCAAGUUAGUUAGUUUUUUGUUCAUGUUAAGCAUGUAGACAUGUUGGAUGUUCAGACCACCCGAGUUGUAUUGAUUUAUGUAAUAGGCAACAUAUAAUGUAUUGAUUUUACAUAUUCUUGUAUAUU